CUUAGCGUUUUUGCUGUCUGGACCUUUGCGAUUUGACGCAUUCGAGCCGAACCAUGGCAUGUAGUCUCUUCUGCGAUGGGAUUAGUGAUUGAAACACACGGAAGCCAAAACAAGCGUGAUCGGUGCGUGUUAGCGGGCAAUCAGUGAAAGAAACCAGAAGGAAAAAUGAAUCUCACAGCUUGAUCGAUAUGAACGACAUGUGACUGGGUUUGCCCUCUGGUGACGUGGCUGUUGCCUUAUCAGCCUUACGAAGUUCGUCGGGCAACUUGGGAGGUCUUUCAACACCGUCGGCAGGAGGCAAGAUCUCCUUGAGAAGAUCCUGCAUAGACGAACUCAUUGGAGCUCUGUUUGCAAAUCAUUACAAAAAGAUCGUUCUUGGGCUGUUUCACAGAAAAAUUUGCUUCUCGACUUCGCUACACGAUGUCCUGCGCUCACCUUUCAGUCGGUUUCACGCUCUCCAGCGUCCGUUCCUGUCAAUGAUAGGAUUCGUUGAAGUGCACUUACUUCUGCAGCACAAGAUAUAUGUCCGCUUCAUCGGCAUC